GACGCUUCCAUUCGGAUCCAACGUGUGCACAUUAACUUCCUCCGUCGACGUUCACGAGCAUGCAGCUUGAAUGUUUGUGUAGGUCUGGACAUCUAGACAAGUGACCGACCGUCUUGUGACCUCGGAUCUCAUGAUCGAGAGUUUGAUUGCGAGUCGGAUGAGCCAGAGGUGCGACAAGUGCUAUUCUACUCACCUCUCGUUAUCUGUCGCACUUCCGUUCCCAUUCUGCAUCACCAUGUGCUGCCACGUGCACGCUGAGUCGCUUGUCUGCUUGCUAGACGCGUUCUGAUGUGGCGACUCUCAACUGUUGUAUGUCUUUGCAAUCGAUGAUGAGUCUGUUGAUUGUAUAUUGUGUAGAGACUCCAGCUAGUGAUCGGUUGGCAAACUCAUGAUCACCGACUUGCAUUUCCGCAUGAAGAAAAGCGGAACAGACGGCAACAGGGCCGUGGAGUUGUUCUCUUGUUGCCGAACGCCUUCAACGUUGCAUGUGAUCGGAAGGCAAUUAGUUACCAUGCACAUACGUGGAGCAGAUCGAUACUCGCAGUUUGUGCGACAAUGGAAGUGUUUGUUGGACCUCAAGAAAGUUUGUUACUUUUCCGAAGUUUUGCCACCAUAGACAUGGGUUUUCAAUGCGUGGUUGUAAUUCGGAUCGAAUUAAUGCGCAAUCGAUCUACAUGCAGCACAAGUCGACAAGACAUGGAAGAGCAUUGCUAAAACAAUCGGUCUCAUCCGUCCUGCAGCUUGAUUCCCAGAAAGGAAGACGGACAAUUGCACAAAGAGUCUAUUGCGAGCUGAUGGGACAACAGGAUUCUUCCUAUAUAUAGUCCUCAUUACACAUGCAUCAAGCUGCAGGUAGAGAUUGUUGUGAGUGUGUCUAAUAUUGGGACGCACAAACAGUGGACACAAACCAUAAACAGACUGUCAGUGUGGGAGAAGCCACAAAGGACUGGGGUCGUCUAAUGCAGUCCCCAUGCUAUCUCCGAUCACGACCUUUGCUCACAUAUUGAGUAAUAAUUUUUUAGUGUGCUGCAUGGCAUGCUCAUGCAUAUAGGUAGAACAACAAAAGAUGUAAUGAUUUAUAUCUACGAUCUGAUCUUACAGGAUACGUAGUGACAUAUUACAGCAAACUAAAUAUUUAUCUAUUGGAGAAUGUUGCAAUUGUUGGGCUUUAUUGCAUCACAUGACAUAUCAGUGUCAUUGACACCAGCAAUGACGUCAUACGACAAACUUCGUAAUAUUUUGUGUGUAAAUAUUUUCAAUGAUGACAAUGUUUGAGAAAGACCAGAUGCACGUAUGUAUACAGCUGCCUGACGAGAAAUAGGUGCAUGUGUAAUAUAUAGCUCCACAUCACUUGCUACAUGAAAUUGGAGCCUAGAUUCUAAGCGUUUUGUAUAUGUCAUUGCAGUUUGUGAAUAGAAACGUGGCCAUGAGUAUCACAAUCGAGCAGUUCGUGCAGUCUGGUGUGCUCUAGAUUUGCAGUCUGGUGUGUUACACUCUACGGUAUCGGGAUGACACAAGAUGCAUACUCGCCAUAUAAAUUGACUUCAGACCAGACCUAAAUACGUCGAUAUUUUUUGGGAAAUAUUUUAGCAAAUAUUUAUCACAAAAAUUUGCAUCUGUCGCUAUGUUUUAUCAAUAGCGCA